rnacentral:rRNA from 1 species
UGGGGAAUUUUGGACAAUGGGCGAAAGCCUGAUCCAGCAAUGCCGCGUGUGUGAAGAAGGCCUUCGGGUUGUAAAGCACUUUUGUCCGGAAAGAAAUCCUUGGCUCUAAUACAGUCGGGGGAUGACGGUACCGGAAGAAUAAGCACCGGUUAACUACGUGCCAGCAGCCGCGGUAAUACGUAGGGUGCAAGCGUUAAUCGGAAUUACUGGGCGUAAAGCGUGCGCAGGCGGUUUGCUAAGACCGAUGUGAAAUCCCCGGGCUCAACCUGGGAACUGCAUUUGGUGACUGGCAGGCUAGAGUAUGGCAGAGGGGGGUAGAAUUCCACGUGUAGCAGUGAAAUGCGUAGAGAUGUGGAGGAAUACCGAUGGCGAAGGCAGCCCCCUGGGCCAAUACUGACGCUCAUGCACGAAAGCGUGGGGAGCAAACAGGAUUAGAUACCCUGGUAGUCCACGCCCUAAAACGAUGUCAACUAGGUUGUUGGGGAUUCAUUUCCUUAGUAACGUAGCUAACGCGUGAAGUUGACCGCCUGGGGAGUACGGUCGCAAGAUUAAAACUCAAAGGAAUUGACGGGGUCAUAGCUG